rnacentral:lncRNA from 1 species
AUGUCCCUCCUGGAUCUCAGUGGUCCUACUUGCUUGGAUCUCAGCAAUCCUUCCCUGCCUGAGUCUCAGCAGUCCUGCCCUACCUGGAUCUCAGUGGUCCUGUCCCUCAGUGCCUCUGCCCUGCCUGGAUCUCAGUGGCCCUGCCCUGCCUGGAUCUCAGUGGCCCUGCCCCUCAGGGGUCCUGCCCCUCCUGGAUCUCCAUGGUCCUGCUCCUCCUGGGUCUCAGUGGUCCUGCCCCUUCUGAGUCUCAGUGAUCCUUCCCUGCCUGGAUCUCCGUGGUCCUACCUGGAACUCAGUGGCCCUGCCCCUCCUGGAUCUCGGUGGCCCUGCCCUUGGAUCUCAGUGGCCCUGCCCCUCCUGGAUCUCAGUGGUCCUGCCCUGCCUGGUUCUCAAGGGGUCCUGCCCCUCCUGAAUCUCAGUGGCCCUGCCUGGAUCUCAGUGGUCCUACCUGGAACUCAGUGGCCCUGCCCCUCCUGGAUCUCAGUGGUCCUGCCCUGCCUGGUUCUCAGGGGUCCUGCCCCUCCUGGAAUCUCAGUGGCCCUGCCUGCCUGGAUCUCAGUGGCCUGCCCCUCCUGGAUCUCAGUGGCCCUUGCCCCUCCUGGAUCUCAGUGGCCCUGCCCCUCCUGGAUCUCAGUGGCCCUGCCCUGCCUGGAUCUCAGUGGCCCUGCCCCUCCUGGAACUCAGUGGCCCUGCCCCUCCUGGAUCUCAGAGGCCCAGCCCUGCCUGGAUCUCAGUGGUCCUGCCCCGCCUGGAUCUCAGGGGUCCUGUCUCCCUGGAUCUCAGCGGCCCUGCCCUGCCUGGAUCUCAGCGGCCCUGCCCUGCCUGGGUCUCAGCAGCCCUUCCCUGCCUGGAUCUCAGUGGCCCUGUCCUUCCUGGAUCUCAGUGGCCCUGCCCUGCCUGGAUCUCAGUGGCCCUGCCUGGAUCUCAACAGCCCUGUCCCUCCUGGAUCUCAAGGGUCUUGCCCUGCCUGGGUUUCAGUGGCCCUGCCCUGCCUGGAUCUCAGGGGUCCUGCCCCUCCUGGAUCUCAGUGGUCUUGCCCCUCAUGGAUGUCAAUGGCCCUGCCCCACCUGGAUCUCAGUGGCCCUGCCCCUCCUGGAUCUCAGUGGCCCUGCCGCUCCUGGAUCUCAAUGGUCCUCCCCGUCCUCAAUCUCAGCAGCCCUGCCAUGCCCGGAUCUCAGCGGUCCUGUCCUCGUGGAUCCCAGUGGCCCUGCCCUGCCUGGAUCUCAGGGGUCCUGCCCCUCCUGGUUCUCAGUGGUCCUGCCCUGCUUGUAUCUCAGUGGCCCUGCCCUGCCUCGAUCUCCAUGGUCCUGCUCCUCCUGGGUCUCAGUGGUCCUGCCCCUCCUGGAUCUCAGUGGUCCUGUCCUGCCUGGAUCUCAGCGGCCCUGCCCUGCCUGGAUCUCAGCGGCCCUGCCCUGCCUGGGUCUCAGUGGCCCUGCCCUGCCUGGAUCUCAGAGGCCUUGCCCUGCCUGGGUCUCAGUGGUCCUGCCCCUCGUGGAUCUCAGUGGUCCUGCCCCUCCUCAAUCUCAGCAGCCCUGA